rnacentral:rRNA from 1 species
ACAGGAAAGCUUGCUUUUGCUGACGACCGGCGCACGGGUGCGUAACGCGUAUGCAACCUACCUCAUACUGGAGGAUAGCCCCUGGAAACGGGGAUUAAUACUCCAUAGUAUCACGAAUUCGCAUGUUUUUGUGAUUAAAGUUUUUCGGUAUGAGAUGGGCAUGCGUCCCAUUAGCUUGUUGGUGAGGUAACGGCUCACCAAGGCAACGAUGGGUAGGGGGCCUGAGAGGGUGGUCCACCACACUGGUACUGAGACACGGACCAGACUCCUACGGGAGGCAGCAGUGAGGAAUAUUGGUCAAUGGAGGCAACUCUGAACCAGCCAUGCCGCGUGAAGGAUGACGGCCCUAUGGGUUGUAAACUUCUUUUAUAGAGGAAGAAACUUGUCUACGUGUAGACAACUGACGGUACUCUACGAAUAAGGAUCGGCUAACUCCGUGCCAGCAGCCGCGGUAAUACGGAGGAUCCAAGCGUUAUCCGGAUUCAUUGGGUUUAAAGGGUCCGUAGGCGGGUCUUUAAGUCAGUGGUGAAAGCCGACAGCUCAACUGUCGAACUGCCAUUGAUACUGGAGACCUUGAGUACAAAUGAAGUAGGCGGAAUGAGUCAUGUAGCGGUGAAAUGCAUAGAUAUGACUCAGAACACCGAUUGCGAAGGCAGCUUACUAACAUGUAACUGACGCUGAGGGACGAAAGCGUGGGGAGCGAACAGGAUUAGAUACCCUGGUAGUCCACGCCGUAAACGAUCAUCACUCGCUGUUGGCGAUAUACUGUCAGCGGCCAAGCGAAAGUGUUAAGUGAUGCACCUGGGGAGUACGCCGGCAACGGUGAAACUCAAAUGAAUUGACGG